CCCCUUUUAAAAGCAGUCCUUGGGCCUUGACUAAUGACCCACUGAGCUGUCAAGAAAGGGUAGAGUAAAAACUGCUUUUGGGUGAAGCAGCAGCGUGCUGUGUUGUUUUGCUUUAAUCGGUGGUGUGAUGAGG
rnacentral:snoRNA from 1 species